rnacentral:rRNA from 1 species
AUUGAACGCUGGCGGCAUGCCUUACACAUGCAAGUCGAACGGCAGCGGACCUUCGGGUGCCGGCGAGUGGCGAACGGGUGAGUAAAGUAUCGGAACGUACCUUUCAGUGGGGGAUAACGUAGCGAAAGUUACGCUAAUACCGCAUAUUCUGUGAGCAGGAAAGCAGGGGAUCGCAAGACCUUGUGCUGAUUGAGCGGCCGAUAUCAGAUUAGCUAGUUGGUGAGGUAAAGGCUCACCAAGGCGACGAUCUGUAGCGGGUCUGAGAGGAUGAUCCGCCACACUGGAACUGAGACACGGUCCAGACUCCUACGGGAGGCAGCAGUGGGGAAUUUUGGACAAUGGGGCCAACCCUGAUCCAGCCAUGCCGCGUGAGUGAAGAAGGCCUUCGGGUUGUAAAGCUCUUUCGGCCGGGAAGAAAUCGCUUAGGUUAAUACCCUGAGUGGAUGACGGUACCGGAAUAAGAAGCACCGGCUAACUACGUGCCAGCAGCCGCAGUAA